GGGUCGUUAGCUCAGUUGGUAGAGCAGCUGACUCUUAAUCAGCGGGCCACAGGUUCGAGUCCUGUACGACCCA
rnacentral:tRNA from 3 species